rnacentral:rRNA from 1 species
UACGUAGGCAGCAAGCGUUGUUCGGAAUUACUGGGCGUAAAGAGUGUGUAGGCGGUGCUCUAAGUUCGGUGUGAAAUCUCCCGCUUAACUGGGAGGGUGCGCCGGAAACUGGAGUGCUCGAGCGUGGGAGAGGAAAGCGGAAUUCCUGGUGUAGCGGUGAAAUGCGUAGAUAUCGAGGAGGAACACCUGCGGUGUAGACGGCUUUCUGGACCAUUGCUGACGCUGAGACACGAAAGCGUGGGUAGCAAACAGG